rnacentral:rRNA from 1 species
CAAUAGCGUAUAUUAAAGUUGUUGCGGUUAAAAAGCUCGUAGUUGGAUCUCGGCAGGCAGGGGGUGGUUCGCUCUUAGCGCUACUGCCCCAUUUGCCUGUGUGAUUGGCGGAGGUUUCGGGGUGCUCUUCGUUGAGUGACCCGGGGCGCCGUCAGGUUUACUUUGAAAAAAUUAGAGUGCUCAAAGCAGGCUUUUCACGCUUGAAUAUUCGUGCAUGGAAUAAUGGAAUAGGAACUCGUUUCUAUUUUGCUGGUUUUCGGAAAUCGAGUUAAUGAUUAAUAGGGACAAUUGGGGGCAUUAGUAUUCAGACGACAGAGGUGAAAUUCUUGGACCGUCUGAAGACUAACUACUGCGAAAGCAUUUGCCAAGAGUGUUUUCAUUAA